GAUCCAGAUUGGAGCAUUGGGAGAGGCCUCAGUGCAAUACGAAGCGAAUACCAUGUCCUAUCGUAUCUGGCCUCCUACCUACGAUCGCGCCUAGCCCGUACUCGCCUACUCCCCCGUCCACUACCCCGUGACCAGGAUGCCCCAUCGACCAAGCCGGAAGCAGUUCAAAAUUCGAAUCUCAUCAGGCAGACGCAGCUGCAUCGACCGGCGGAACCACGCCCUCUCCAUCGCCGGCACCUCGAUCUCGAGAUUUCAUUACGAUUCACCAAUGAAUCGCGGUGGGGGAAAAUCCGCAUCCUGUCCCGAAAAUCCACUUCCACGCGCAACAGCAAAUCCUCAAGUCUUCAUCUUCUCCUGGUCAUGGGCAACUUCUGUUCCCAGCCGGUCGCAACCGAGGGCGUCCCAGAUCUGGCAUUGCUAGAGGAAGGGGAGGACGACGACGAGUGCGGGGAUGGAGAGAAAUAUGGUGUUACCGAUUAUCGUUCCUCAAGUUCUACAUCUCAAGUUCAAGACACGGAAGAUUUUUUCAAUGUUUCCCCCAGAUAUUGACAACACCGGCAGUCACAGUGAGCCCCCAUCUGAAUUGGCCUCAAAGGGUCCGACUUGGCAAGAUACCCGACCGCCGCGCCUCAUUAUCGCGAAGGAAAGUGCUUUGGAGAAGGCCAUGAGAAAUUAUGCGGAUCGGGCAAAGCCUUCAAUCUCUCGUGCUGUGUCCAUGGACAGCUUUUGUUCAUAACCCUUGGAGUGCAUCCCAGAUCGGAGAUCGCCAAAUGAGGAAGACAGCGGCGAGUGUUCCUCCACGUUCCCCCCCCCCCCCCCCCCCCCCCCCAGCGGCAAUAGAUGCGUCCUAAAUAUAUCAAAUUGUGUUGGCGAACGAUUGAACUGGGUGUGUGCUUUCAGUAAAAUAGUAGCCUAGACCCGAAUUUUGUAAGCUUUCCCAGUUGGAAAUUACUCCCUCCGUUCCAAAAUAGAUGACUCAACUUUGUAAGUUAGUACAAAGUUGAGUCAUCUAUUUUGGAACGGAGGGAGUAUAAUGGACAUUGACUUGUACAGUAAACAGUAAUUGUGUGGAGGAAUGAUUCGACUAGGCAAGUGUUUUCAGUAAAAUAGUAGUCUGAAGAUUAAUUCAGCACUAUCAAUUGAAAUUUU